rnacentral:lncRNA from 1 species
AGAAACAAAACAACCAUGGACCCUGAACUGAUCCAGCACGUGAAAUCCAUCUAGAGUCUAUAAGACAGAACUCCUGGACAUUUUUUUAUGUGGCCUAUGUACUUUAUUCAGAUUUCCAAGCAUGUUCAGAGACUGUGCUGAGAUCCAGUGUAAGAUUUUGAAAAAGGAUGCACCAGGGCUAGAAAAUGAGCCAGAGCCUGCCUGUCAGCCCUACACAAGGAGGAGCAAGGAGUUAUCAGUGUAUCCACACAAACAGAUCUCAACACAUCUAAAACAAGGAAGAUGGGAGCCCUGUGCUGAGGCAGCUGAUGAAGACAUGACAGGCAUCAGCACUGCAUAUCUGAAUCUGGCCCCAACCUGCUGGGACAAAAUUGCUUGGCCAGGAGAAAGAUGGAGUGGAAAUGUGGUGGGAAGACGUGUCAAUAAGGAGUAACAGGAAACAAUAAAUGACCUGGUGCACGAGGCUAGGUGAAGAAAGAUCUUUUGAGACGUAGAUUUGAUGAUACCAUAACUCAUAUGAGCUGUGGGGGAUAAUUUAGCACCACUGAAGCAUCCUCAGGCUAUUUCUGAUACUAAUCAGAGACUUCAGACAGUGUGGAUCUGAUUUGGAUCUCAGGACUACUAUUCACAAACCAACAUGAACUGUCAAUUUCAUUUUUUCUUCUGAAAAAACUUCUGCUGAGAGCCAUUGUAAAUUCCCAUAAAAGAUUUUUAAAUUCCAUAAGUGAACUUGCAAGAAAUCAUCAAGCUUAUUUAUUCAUUUUUGUGAAACAACAGUUUAGCACAGAAGGUAUGUGCUUGAUAACAAAGGGGCACUGGGAUGAAAUGCAUCUGAGAUCAGAUACCAAGUUGUCA